rnacentral:rRNA from 1 species
CCUACGGGAGGCAGCAGUGAGGAAUAUUGGUCAAUGGGCUUACGCCUGAACCAGCCAAGUCGCGUGAGGGAAGACUGCCCUAUGGGUUGUAAACCUCUUUUGUCAGGGAGCAAUUGGCGCUACGUGUAGCGUUAUCGAGAGUACCUGAAGAAAAAGCAUCGGCUAACUCCGUGCCAGCAGCCGCGGUAAUACGGAGGAUGCGAGCGUUAUCCGGAUUUAUUGGGUUUAAAGGGUGCGUAGGCGGAAUGCCAAGUCAGCGGUAAAAUCGCGGGGCUCAACCUCGCUCCGCCGUUGAAACUGGCGGUCUUGAGUGGGCGAGAAGUAGGCGGAAUGCGUGGUGUAGCGGUGAAAUGCAUAGAUAUCACGCAGAACUCCGAUUGCGAAGGCAGCAUACCGGCGCCCAACUGACGCUGAAGCACGAAAGCGUGGGUAUCGAACAGGAUUAGAUACCCGGGUAGUC